CCCGCACAAGCGGUGGAGCAUGUGGUUUAAUUCGACGCAACGCGAAGAACCUUACCAGGGCUUGACAUCCCCUGACCGCGUAUGAAAGUACGUUUUCACCCUCGGGUGACAGGGAGACAGGUGGUGCAUGGUUGUCGUCAGCUCGUGUCGUGAGAUGUUGGGUUAAGUCCCGCAACGAGCGCAACCCCUACGUUUAGUUGCUAACGCGUGAAGGCGAGCACUCUAGACGAACUGCCGUUGACAAACGGAGGAAGUGGGGAUGACGUCAAAUCAUCAUGCCCCUUAUGUUCUGGGCUACACACGUGCUACAAUGGCCGGUACAGACGGACGCAAAGCCGCGAGGCGGAGCAAAUCCCAUAAAGCCAUUCGUAGUCCGGAUCGCAGUCUGCAACUCGACUGCGUGAAGUCGGAAUCGCUAGUAAUCGUGGAUCAGAAUGUCACGGUGAAUACGUUCCCGGGUCUU
rnacentral:rRNA from 1 species